rnacentral:tRNA from 1 species
UCCUUGGAGGUCUAGUGACCAAGACUCCACGCUCCUGAUGCAGGGGGCCCAGGUUCAAUCCCUGGUCAGGGAA